GUGAAACUUGAUGAAGACGGCAGAAGCACCGUCCUCUUCUGUACACUUCACAGUGCCUGCGGGAACAGCAAGAUGCUUGGAAGCACGGAAGAGGAGCAGUGGUUUUACAAAUCCUACAUUGUUACAACUUUCUUUGUACUUCCUCAAGACAAGAGAUAAGUUCAGAACCAGGAACAAGGUGCCUGCUGUGGGCUGUCAGAAUCCAUACUUCCUAGUACAUCACUGUUGAGCCUGUAUUCUCUUCUUUGCUUAUGUACAUUUUAUUACCCCUUCAAGGAAAAAAUAACUGCCUUAAAGAGUCAAACUAACCCCCCCUCACACUAUGCAAAGCCAUUCUUACCCACAUACACACAAUAGUGGGCCAAGCUUUAAAAAAAAAAAAAGCAAGCCUUAUAACAGUAAGUGUAAGGCAUAAUUACAGUACAUAUCCAAAACUUACACUCUAUGACUGGUAAUGUAUGCAAAAGUCACUGGUUAUUUAUCACACACAUAGACCCAGGAGGGUUGAAGAUGGUAAUUCUGGGUUCAAGAAUCACAAUUUACCAACAGCAGAAGAGGAUGGACUAUAAUACAGAUUGUAUACCAUGAACAAGCAAACAUAAAUAAAUUUUAAUGGAUAACUCCAUAUAUUCAUAGAACUUAAAUGUUAACAUUGAAGCCAACAAGAUGGCUUAAUGGGCAAAAGACUAUAUGAUGUACCCUCUCCCACUGCCUUCCCAAGCUUAUCUCCUAAUGCUUUUCUCCCUAUUGACUCUCAGUCUUUGGCUCCUGCUACUUGUGCACACCAGUUGCACUAAUCGCUCAGCUGAAAAUACCUUCAAAGACUUAGUUGCUAAGUCUGAGAACCCCAAUUUAGUCCCAAGGCUCAUACAGUAGAAAGAAAGAACAUACUUCUAGAAGCUGUCUUCUGACCUCUGCACCCAGGCUGUAACACUCACCUGUACCCGACCCUCAUCUGCC
rnacentral:lncRNA from 1 species